rnacentral:sRNA from 1 species
UGUCAUUUUAUACUAAUGACAAUUUUUCACAAAGUUUUCACUUGUAAGCAAUUUUUAAUAGGGUCAUGGUGCAGUACGGCUACAGUCAAUGGGAUUAGUUAGCACCUUGGUGUGACCAGGAAAUAAUCCUUCUGAAUGUAAAAGGUGUAUUGUGAAAUUAUGAAGCAUGUAUUUUAUACAAUGAACUGUAUCGUGUAGAUGAUAACGGUAAUAUUGCAUAGAUUCAUGAAAUCCAGUAAAUGUAUCAUGUUUGUCAGUUUGAGAAACCAUAAUAUGCUGUAGGGUACAAAUAUUAACAUGAAGAUGUGAUGUUCAGUGAUUGUAAUUGAUUUUCUGUAUGUUAAAGUGAUGUUCUGAGUUGUUAAUUUUACUAUAACACUUCAUUCUUAUUUAUUGCAAGCAACACAAGACCAGGUCAUACACAGUUAUGCAUCCAAACUUUGCUGCACUCACAACACCCCCUCAUGAAGAUAUUGAUGUCUGAGGAACAGGAACACACUGAUCAAUAACCUUGUAUCUCGGUGUGUAAGCCUGUAUGAAUGAAAUAUCAAUCGGAGCAGGAUUUCCGCUGAUUGUAGCAAUAUGUUCUAGUGCUAGUUUGUAAUAUUGUAGAUUUUCUGUGCACUGAACCUCGUGGACAUCAAAAUCUGAUAUUUUGUGGGUGCAUGCAGCUUUUCUGACAAGGAACAAGCGCCUAUGUGCAUGAUUUAUUGACACAAUUAAAAUAGAUAAUCC